rnacentral:tRNA from 1 species
UCCCUCAUAGCUCAGUUGGUAAAGAAUCUACUUGCAAUGCAGGUGACCUAGGUUUGAUUCCUAGGUAGGGAA